AAUUUAUAGUUCUAUUAGGGAAUUUUCUACUUACACUAGAAGGGGUCUUGUGCAAUUCAGGAUUAAUUGAU
rnacentral:tRNA from 1 species